rnacentral:rRNA from 1 species
UACGUAGGGGGCAAGCGUUGUCCGGAAUUAUUGGGCGUAAAGAGCGUGUAGGCGGUCCGAUAAGUCGGCUGUGAAAGUCCAGGGCUCAACUCUGGAAUGCCGGCCGAUACUGUCGGACUAGAGUCCGGAAGAGGUGAGUGGAAUUCCCGGUGUAGCGGUGAAAUGCGCAGAUAUCGGGAGGAACACCAAUGGCGAAGGCAGCUCACUGGGACGGCACUGACGCUGAGACGCGAAAGCGUGGGGAG